rnacentral:lncRNA from 1 species
CCUAGUCGCUUUCCUUCUGAUUGCCGGUGGUUGAGUGCCUCCACAUUUUCAUAACCCGAUUUUGGAGGCUCACCACAUUUCCACAGGACUGUUAUUUUGUUCCUUCGGGUGUACCAUUACAGCCCUGUAGAGAACCGCCUUGUGGGAUUUAUUAGGCAACUAUAUUAGAGAGUUCAAUAUUUUCUAAAUGAGUUGACUGCGAAGACGAAUUAUUGGUGUUCGCGUCGCGAAGUGACCUUGCUAGUUCUUCAGGAUCUUCUAGAACGGUUUGAAGAUAAUUUGUAUUACUUUAUGGAGGAUUUAUUACUGUUGGCGGGCAACAUUUUCAGCAUUUGCUUGAUUAAUGCAUUUGAACUUAAGUGACAGGAUCCACUCGGCAAGAGACCCAAAUUGUCCAGCUUUUUGCAAAAAUUAAACAAAAUGCGACAACAAGUAAACUAUUCAAGUGACAAUCAACAUUUUUUGGACCAAAAAUAGGCUCAACUAAAACUAUCUCAGGUAAAACAAUAAAUAUUAAAGGAUCAGCUAUUAUACACCAAAAUGUUCAAUCAAUUGGAAAUUCUCUGGAUAGAUUAAACCACCUAAUUGAGGAAAACCCCGAUUGCAAAUUCAUCUGUAUAACAGAACAUUGGAAGAGAAGGGAUUAGCUUCAAAUUUUCCAGAUUAGAAACUUUCAUAUAGCUUCUUCCUUCUGCCGAGAGAAGGGAUAUGGUGGAGUAGCAGUGUAUGUGGAAAAAACAUGUACUCUCAAAGGUUCUAUAAACUACAAACAGGUUGGCAGUGGAAGAGCAGUUUGAAUGUACUUGCGUCGAGUGUAUUCUGGCAGGUAAACAAUUUUAUGUGUGUUCAGUAUACAGUGCUUUCAUUUCAAAACGAUCCACCCUUAAUAACUUUCUUAAAAAAAAAAAAAAAAAACACGUCAAAUUAGAUAUACAGGGGGACGUUUAAUUAUGAAUUUACUGAAGUUCUGUCAUCACCUCCAGCUAACCUCACUUUAAUAUGUCAAAUGGGAACCCCCAUCGUGUGAUACAUCAUAGUAAGCAGCGUAAAAUUCUCUAUUCAACGGUACCAAAAAAAAUUAAAUCGGUAAAUGCGUAAGCAAAUAGUUAGCGAAAAUGUCUAGAAAUAAUGAAUUAAUGCAUGAAUGAAUGAAAUAAUGAAUGAAGAAAGUUAUUAAGGGUGGAUCGUUUUGAAAUGAAAGCACUGUAUAGACCUCCAAAAGAAGAUGUAAAAAUAUUUAAAAAAAAAUAGAAGAGUUACUUUUUUGUUAUACAGCCAGUCAAAGGAAGGUAUUUAUAGCAGGUGACUUUAAUAUUGAACUUUUGAAACCUAAUAGAGAUAAACAAGAAGUCUUCUCAAUCAUGAACUCAUUUAAUUUCUAUCCAACAAUUACAGAAAAAACUAGGUUAAAUAGUUGCAUCGAUAAUAUAUUUACCAAUAUUGAUAUUGUUUGUGUUCUAGGCAUGACUUUGCAAACUCAUAUUUCAGAUCAUAAAGGGCAAAAAACAAUUUUCUUAACCAAAUACCAGUAUACAUUCCCAAAACAAUAUAAACGAUUUUUGUUUGAAGCAAGUUAACUAUUCGAAUAUGCCAAACUCCUUUUUAUAAAAUACAAUAUUUAUUUCGUACAAACUUAGCGCAGCUACAAUUUCAACUGACUAACUAAAAAUUACAAAUGGUGGAUAUUUAUAUGAGUAAAAAAACAAGUUAAGCAUAAGCAAUGAUCAGCAUUCUCCAUAAGGGACUGUGACAUAACUAGCAAACAAAACUUUUUUUAUUCAACAGUUAAAAGAAGAAAACUGGGCUGACGUUUUUGGUAAGGAAGAUUGUGAUGUAAAUAGCCAAUGGAGAGCUUUUAUGAAUAUAUUUGUACCAAUUUUUAAUCAAAGUUUUCCAAAGAAACGAAUAUGUAAGAAAAAUAAUAAAGAAGAUCUCUAUAAAUAUAAUGAGGAAGUUAGGGAAGUGAAGGCUAGAUUAGAUACUCUUUUUAUAUUAAAGCAACGUUUUCCUAUGUAUGCAGAUAGAUACAAAAUUGUAAAAAAAGAGUAUGAUGAUAUGUUGAUAAAAUGUAAAUAUAAAAAAUAUCAAAAUAAGAUAAAGACAUCAGAUAAUAUAAAUAAAUGUAUGUGGACUAUAUACAAAGAAGUUUCUGGGAAAGUCAUAAAUCAAAAACAGUCUGUCACUGGGCAAGCUGAUCAAGCUGCCAAUGAUUACAACAACAAUGAAACAACAUGGCAAACGAAUAUAGCAGCCAACCCUAGAGGCUUCUUGUUAAAGCCCAAGUGAACUUUUAAGUAUUCUUAAAAAAGUAAAAAAUAAAUUAAGCUGCGGAAAUGAUGAUAUACCAGCGAGUAUUGUCAAGGUUUGCAUUCCAACCAUAUCUGAAGUUUUUUGCCACAUUUUGAACAAUUCAUUAAAGCAUGGAAUUUUCCCAGAUCAAUUAAAAAGUCCACUCAUUAAGCCAAUCUACAAAAAAAGGGCGAUCCUAAUGAAUUUGACAACUUACUUCCAAGUUUUUCAAACCUGUUUGAGUUGACAGUUUGCAAUCAGCUUCUCAGUUUUCUAAAAGAGUGCAAUAUUUUAUCUGACAAUCAACAUGGAUACCUUGAGGGUAGAUCUACACAAACUGCCAUAUUUCAGUUCACUUGUGCAGUUUUGAGAAAUUUGGAGGAAGGAAAGCUUUCAUUGGGAAAAAAGGAGGUUUCGGAAGAAAGGUUUCAUAUUUUUAGACAUAAGGCAUAUGAUUGUUUAGAUAGAAAUUUUAGCAUGAUUUUUAGAAGAGUGCAACAGGUAGUGGUAGAAAGCAGCGGAAAUUCAGGCUAAUGAAAUAGGUAAACCACAAGGGAGUAUUUUGGGGCCUUUUUUGUUCAUUGUCUUUAUAAAAGACUUGCCUUUUGAAAUUAUUAAUAAUAGUCAUACAGUAUGCAAUACCCUAACAAUAUUUGCAGAUGACACAAAUUUAUUAGUGGCGUCUUCAAACAUCUCUGAGCUAUGCCUGAAUGGAGAUCUUCUGUUUAAAAAAACCAAAGAUUGGUUUAAUAAAAAUAAGCUUAUAUUGAAUGAACAAAAAACGCACGUUGUAAUUUUUAAAACAAAACAAGGAAGUAAGCCCAAAAGAAGUAAACUUCAACAAUAUUGAGGUUAAAGUGCAGGCAUCAACUAAAUUUCUGGGUGUAUAUAUUGAUGAAUUCUUAGACUUUUCAGAUCACAUUGAAUAUUUACAAAUUAAGCUGAAUAGAGUUUGUUUUUGUUUCCGUACAGUUCUAAAAUAUCUAAAUGAAUGGGCUAGAAGAGCCUUGUAUUUUGCCAACUUUGAGUCUUCAGCUAGGUAUGGCAUUAUUUUCUGGGCGGCCAACUCUAAGAUUCAAAGUGUAUUUGUCAUUCAAAAAAGGGUAAUUAGAAUAAUGUUUGGGAUGCAAUACUUGGAAUCAUAUAGAGGUAUUUUUAGAUUUAAGAGAAUACUAACUGUAUAUGCAUUGUAUAUAUUUGAAGCAGUGAUGUUUUUAUUUAGGAAUAGAGAUAAGUUUCCUACUUCUGUUGAUCAUAGGUUUAAUACUCGCACAUGUAAUAUUAACUACCCUAUACAUAGGCUUUCAUUGUUUGAAAAGAGUCCCUACUAUAUGUGCAUAAAGUUAUUUAAUAAACUUCCGCAUGAAAUAAAAACUAUAGGAAAUCAAAACAGAUUUAAACAAAAGGUGAAAAACUUACUACUUACUUUAGAACCGUAUAGUCUGAAUGAUUACUUAAGUAUGUAAAGUUAUAUAUAGUUAUCUCAGGGAGACGUUUAUAUUUCUAAAUAAUCCUUUUUUUGUGAGGUCAUUUCAUUUUAUUGAAGUUUUCAUGUAUAAUGUGACUUUGUAAUAUGAAAUAAAGAAAUAUUAUUAUUAUUAUUAUUAUUAUUAUUAUUAUUAUUAUUAUUAUUAUUUCUCACCA